AUGAGGCGGCUUCGGGCAGGGCCUCGGCGCUGCGGACCGAAAGUCAGCUGCAAACUUUUUUUUUUUUUUUUUCUUUUUCUUUUUUUUUUUUUUAAUUCUGCAAGCGAAGCCCCGGCUCAUGCAAAAAUGAAACUUGCGAAGCGCUGCCCUACCUGGCGCCAAGUCUGCAACAAGUGCACGGGGGCCGGCACGAGGGGCUCUGAUUUUUCUCUCUUUUUGGGAGCCGCGAGAGCGACCGCACUAUUAAUUGAUCACCGCGCCGCCGGGGCCGGGUCCUACUUUACUUACGGCGCAGCCCGUAAACAAAUAUCGCUCCGCCAGGAAACGCAACUCCCCCGGCCCGCACGGCCCGGCCCGGCCCCGCCGCCAACACCCGGCCCGGCCCCCGCCCGCCCGGCACAUGGCGGGUCCGCGCCCCGCGGGGAGGCUGCGGAGCGGGCGCUUACCUCCGGCACGGCCUCCCGCUGCGGCUCCGGCCGCGCCGCCCUUCUCUCGUCUCUCGCCCGUGAUGCACGAAAUCCCGCUGUCAGCAAAUCGCUGUCAAAUUAUUUUCUCGCAAAAGAGCGAGGAGGAAAAAAAAAAAAAAGAAAAAAAAAAAAAGCAGAAGCAGAAGGGGGAGGAGGCAGCUGGAGGCGACGGGAUCCCUCCGCCGCGAUGGGUCUGGCUCUGGGUAGCGAAGCAGGAAGUAAGGUGUCGGCGGCGCCGCGGCCGCGGCCGCCCGGCCCCGCGGCGGGGCGAGGGCGAGGGGCGCCCGCCGCCCCCGGGGCCCGCUCCGCCCGCUCCGCCGAGCCGCGGCCCCCCCUUGUGCGGCCCCUCCUCUCGGCGCAGGUGCCGGGCGGCUGGCGGGGAGCUGUCAGCGGCUGCCGGCGGGGCUCGGGCCGGCCGCGGGCUCCCGGCGCCGCAUGCCGCAGGGCGGAGGGGACGGGGCCGGCUCCGGCUCCCGCCCGGCCGGCGGCACCGCCGUCCCUCCCCCGCGGCGCUGAGGGAGGGGGCGCCCGGCGGCGGCGGCGGCUGAAGGAGAUGGGGUCCCGCCGACCGGGCUGUGAGGGAGCGGCCGGGCCGCCUCACCCCCCCGCCCCACCGCCCGGAGAAGCCGAGGCCGAGCUGGGGCGGGGGGAAGCGGCGGCGGCGCCGGAGAGGAAAGUUGUGCCGGGCUGUCAGCGGGCCGGGCGGCUCCGGGCGGGCUGA
rnacentral:lncRNA from 1 species